GCCAGGUGUGGUGGCAUAGGCCCCUUGUCCCAGCUACUUGGGAGGCUGAGGCAGGAGGAUUGCUUGAGCCCAAAAGUUUUGGACUGUAGGGUGCUAUAUUGAUUGGGUGUCAGCACUAAGUUCAGCAUCAAUACAGUGACCUCCCAGGAGUAGCGCCACCAGGAUGCUUAAGGGUGAACCGGCCCAGGUUGGAAACAGAACAGGUCAAAGCUCCCGUGCUCUGGUCAGUAGCAAUAGCCACUGCACUCCAGCCUGGGCAACAUAGCAAGACUCUAUCUCA
rnacentral:SRP_RNA from 1 species